UGGGGAAUUUUGGACAAUGGGCGAAAGCCUGAUCCAGCAAUGCCGCGUGUGUGAAGAAGGCCUUCGGGUUGUAAAGCACUUUUGUCCGGAAAGAAAUCCUUGGCUCUAAUACAGUCGGGGGAUGACGGUACCGGAAGAAUAAGCACCGGCUAACUACGUGCCAGCAGCCGCGGUAAUACGUAGGGUGCAAGCGUUAAUCGGAAUUACUGGGCGUAAAGCGUGCGCAGGCGGUUUGCUAAGACCGAUGUGAAAUCCCCGGGCUCAACCUGGGAACUGCAUUGGUGACUGGCAGGCUAGAGUAUGGCAGAGGGGGGUAGAAUUCCACGUGUAGCAGUGAAAUGCGUAGAGAUGUGGAGGAAUACCGAUGGCGAAGGCAGCCCCUGGGCCAAUACUGACGCUCAUGCACGAAAGCGUGGGGAGCAAACAGGAUUAGAUACCCUGGUAGUCCACGCCCUAAACGAUGUCAACUAGUUGUUGGGGAUUCAUUUCCUUAGUAACGUAGCUAACGCGUGAAGUUGACCGCCUGGGGAGUACGGUCGCAAGAUUAAAACUUAAAUGAAUUGAC
rnacentral:rRNA from 1 species